AUGUAAUUAAAAAUUAAAAAAAAAAAAGUAUCUAGUUAAAACUCCUGCAAUGGCGUUUCUAACAAGGAACUCUAAAAGACUUUUUAUUUAGUCAGAAAACACUUAUAGGCUACUUUUGAAACGGUGUCUAUGGAGAAACACGUUUUUUGUCGUCGGGUGGUGUAGUUCCAGCAUCUACCAGCAGGGACUAACAGGAACCUGCUAACCAGCCCUGGUUUCUAAAACAGCGGUUGAGAGAGUGGUGGUAGUUUUGAAAAUCUGCCUACCCAUCUCUAUAUAUAUUUCCUUUUUUAGGAUGUCGUAAAAAUUUAAUCGCGAUUUUUUCUUUUGCUGUUGGAGUACAAAAAAUUUGAUGCAGACUCCGUUCACCAUUUUUUUUUUUUUUUUUUUUUUUUAGCCAAGGUUUUUGUGACAACUUCCGCUAGAGAACCCAGAAAUGUGGGAAGGUUCGAUGUCACGGUACUUUCAGUUUUCUGACAAAGUAGUAUUUCAGAAAUAUUAUGUAUAACAUAUAUGAGCUAUAUCGGGGAACCCUGAUCAUCGGGUGCCGCUUCAUCUGUGUGUUUGCAGUGCUGAUAAACAAAGUGUCUCUGCAGGUCACAGUACACAGAGAGGGUGUUAUUGGUGGUUCUGUUGUCCUGCCGUGUUUUUCCUCUGAGCACCAUUAUAAACUUCAAGACAUUGAUGUGAGCUGGAGACACAAUGACAGUGAGAUUGUGUAUGAUAUAGUCAAGGGUGAAGAUUCAUUGGCAGAUCAGGACCCACGGUACAAGAACAGAGCUGAAACAUUCCCAUUAGAGUAUGAGAGAAGAAACUUCUCCAUCAUCCUCAAGAACCUCACCUACACUGAUGCAGGAGAGUUCAACUGCCUCAUCACACCCUCAAAUGAACAGGAGAAAGUAGAACUGAUCAUCAAGGAAGAAAAAGGAAACAAAUCCAAACAAGCAAACCAAGGACCAGAUUGGAUGAAGAUAAUAUCGAUAUUUGUAGGCACUCUUGUAUUACUUGUAUUAAUUAUUGGGUCUAUAAUAGCCUAUUUUUGCUGGAGAAAAAAAACACAAGCUGCCUUAUAGACCAUUUCGGAGUAGACAUCAUAGUUACAAGACUUGUGGCAGAAAAACAGUGGUAAC